CUUGGUUAUCUGGCAUUAGCAUUGUAAGGAUAAUUCUCUCCUUCGCGUUUCUUUGUACAUCUCUCGGUAUUGCUCGUAUCUUUUCCAUAAAUUGAGACUGCUGACUGUACCAUCAAUCUUCAAAGAGCUCUCAGGUUUGCAAUUUUAUACGUGCAGUUUCAGGAUCCGGAAGGCAACCUGGUAUAAAAAAAUGCAAAUACAAUGAGAAAACGUCACCAACAGGAGAUUCGAUAUCAUUAUUCAGGUGGUUAUACGAAUUGUAAAUUCUGCCUUCAGCACUGAAGGAGCGGGGCCAAGAUACAGGUGUUAGGAUGUGCGAAGAUGCGUCGAAAGACAUCCUUUAAUACUUGUGAACACCACUUUCCCGCAGCUGUCAACCUUGAUGUUGGAUCUGAUACCCACAUGGCAGUCCUUGGCAUAGUUUUCAUUGUGCUUUCGUGGCAUUUUGAUACGGUUGCGAGCGAUGGAAGCAAGCUUCAUCUCUUCCAAG